GAUGAACGCUGGCGGCGUGCUUAACACAUGCAAGUCGAACGGAAAGGCCCAAGCUUGCUUGGGUACUCGAGUGGCGAACGGGUGAGUAACACGUGGGUGAUCUGCCCUGCACUUCGGGAUAAGCCUGGGAAACUGGGUCUAAUACCGGAUAGGACCACAUUUUGGAUGGUGUGGUGGAAAGUUUUUCGGUGUGGGAUGAGCUCGCGGCCUAUCAGCUUGUUGGUGGGGUAAUGGCCUACCAAGGCGUCGACGGGUAGCCGGCCUGAGAGGGUGUACGGCCACAUUGGGACUGAGAUACGGCCCAGACUCCUACGGGAGGCAGCAGUGGGGAAUAUUGCACAAUGGGCGCAAGCCUGAUGCAGCGACGCCGCGUGGGGGAUGACGGCCUUCGGGUUGUAAACGCCUUUCGCUAGGGACGAAGCGUUUUUGUGACGGUACCUGGAGAAGAAGCACCGGCUAACUACGU
rnacentral:rRNA from 1 species